GCUCAAGUCCGACUCCUGAGUUAUAUGAGCUGUGUGGCAGUCCCAGUACAGUAUAUGUGUUGAGUUUCCCGCUCUCUGAUGUGAUUGGGCCCGGCUGUGCAAUUACUUCCUAUCUUGUGAUAUUAACAGUGUGGGAAUAGUUUCGUUCAGGAUUUGAAAUUUUCCUAAGUUCUCUGUUUGGUGACAUGUAUAAACAGAGGUAGACUAUAAGGUUCCACCAUUCUUGAUUGAAAAUAGGUAAGAACCAGACUAAUUUAGUGCAAAUAUUAAAUACCAUAUGAUGUUAAGAUUAGUAUUUCAGAUGUUAAAAAGUUAUUCUUGCUGGUUAUAAAUUACAGCUGUGAACUUAAUUGGCUCUCUAAUGAUUGAUUGAAUAUACCACUCCCCAUUGCAUGUUAGAUUAAAGACAUCAUUUAUUAAUUAGUUUGGGAUAAAAAAGUUCUUCUAUUUGAAUCACCUUAAAUACCUUACAUUAAAUACUGACAUCAGCAUGGUUUCUUAUAAUCAAUUGAGGAAGUUGUUGUUAUAUCUUCUCUGAUUUGUUGGUAGCAUCUAUGUUAUUUUAAUGGUAAACAGGAUGUUACAGGAACAUUUCCUAUUAACAAUCAUUUGAGUGACAAAAAACUAUUUUAUCUUUAUUCCUUUUAGGGAACGUAACAUCAUCUAAUUUCAACCAAAUUUAUAUAUAUAUUUUUUUUUUAAGUCUAUCUAGGUAUGUAUUGUACAAUGAGCUGUAAUGUGGAUAUAAUUGUGUGGUAUAUUGUGAAUUUGAAGUUUUAUGUGGACUUUAAUUGGAGUGUUCUAUAACUAUUGGUAGUUUCUGAUACUUGUAGACCCUGCCCUUUGUAUCAUUUCCAUCAGCUGAAUUGAUGUUGAUUAUGUGGAUAAAUACGGAGCUAUUUGAUUUAUAUUGACAUUCAUAAUAUUCUUUCGACUUUCCCUCCCUUUUCUCUUCUUUUGACUCUCCCUCCCUCUUCCUUUUAUCAUUUGUAUAAGGAUAAUGUUUAUUGAUUAUUAUAACGAUAAUGUUUCAGAUAUUAUAUUUAUCGAAUUGGAUGUAAUCAUUGGAUAUUCUAAACCUUUCUAAUCAAUGGUAAUCACUCCUACUAUAAGAACUGAUUCCAAACCCCUGAUGAAGUCCUAACGGACGAAACGCGUUGGGUUUUGCAACGUCUGGUUAACAAAGUCCUUAUCACAAACAUCUGGUUGGAGAUACAUCCAUUUCGAGUUCUGACUGUGAUCACCUGGCUGUAAAAUCCUCACAUCCAACUGUAAUUUAUGUAUAAGAUUGUAAUAUUGUUUUAUAUGAAUUUUUAGAAGGUUGUGUCAGUAACGAACGCUUAGGAUAAAUAUCGUUUGUUUCUGUACAAUAAAAACUUUUAAUUAUUGUCAUACAAAA